ensembl:lncRNA
GGGCACGCACACGCGUGUGCACGCACACAGCCCAAAGCAGCCCGCGCGCCCCGCUGCUCCCGUUCCCUCCGGUCCUCCCCGCACCCCGCAGCACACGCACGCGUGCACACGUGUGCAUGCAAACGUACCCAGACACGUGUGCACACGCAAACGUGCGCAGGCAGAUGCAAGUGCACUUGCACGCGCACACGAGUGCCUGCAUGCUCGUGUGCUCAGACACGCGUGCACACGCGCACACACACAAUUGCAUGUAGACAUGUGUGUGCGCACACAUCUGCACGUGCAUGCACACGUGCACACUGGCGCAUGCACACGUCCCCCUGUGCACGCUCACAAACACAUGGCACACGUCCCGGGCUCCGGCGCCGUGUGGGCACGUGCCACACACAAGCGUGUGCCGUGGGAGCCACACACCUGGCUGGUGGCCUGCGGAUUAACACGGCCAGGGCCACGGGGCGCCGCACGCCACCACGAUGUCACCGGCGUGUCACCCAGACCACCGUGACAUCACCGGCACACCCACACACAUUAACAUGAUGUCACUCAGACACUGACACAUGCCAGUGUGAUGUCACCAAGAUGCUGAUGCAUGCCAACGUGAUGUCACCAAGACACCAAUGCUCACUACUAUGACAUCACACCACUGUGACAUCACCAAGGCACCAACAUCACUGGGUGCUGAUGUCACCAAGACCCUGACACUCACCACUGUGAUGUCACCAAGACCCUGAGACACGCCACUGUGAUGUCACUAAGACCCUGACACUCACUACUGUGAUGUCCCAAGACCCUGACACUCGCCACCAUGAUGUCACCAAGACCCCAACACAUGCCACGUGAUGUCACCAGGCCACCAAGGGGGGCUGCCAGUGGGGCCCAGCACGGUGGCACCACACAGCCCACGAGAGCCACCGGGGGACGAGCUCUCACGCCGCCACAUCCCCAGAGCCGGACCCCGAGCCCCUGUCACCCCAGGGACCCCGGGAGGGCACAGAGCUGCUGGCAGGGAGCCAGGCACGAUGCACCAGGCACAGGGCAUGGAGCCGGGCACGAUGCACCAGGCACAGGGCACGGAGCUGGGCACGAUGCACCAGGCACGGUGCACGGAGCUGGGGAAGGCGCACGGAGCUGGGCACAGUGCACCAGGCACAGGGCACGGAGCUGGCCAGCAAUGCAGCCCCACACCACGAUGGGAAAACUCAGGGACACUGGGCAGCAUCGGGGUGCAGGGGCUGUGCCAGCCUCCGUGUCCCUGCCAGCGCUGGGGACCCUGCAUCACCCACGGCCCAGCCCCAGGGCGAGACGGGCGUCGGGGUGCAGGGCCUGCACCGAGAGGCGCCCCCAUAAUUCAACCAGGUGCACGGGGGAUUCGGGGGAAGCCCCCGCCCCGGGAACGCACACACGCAACGCAGCCCUGCACACCCGCCUCAUGCACACGCGCUCGCGCCGUACGUGCACGCACAGCACGUCCCCAAAACACACGCGUGUGCACGCUGUGCCCGGGCACGCACCGACCCGGAGUCACAUCCGCGCACGGGCACCGUCGCACCGCGCACGGGCUGUCUGCCCCCACCCACACCCGCCACGCAGGGUGCCGGCGGUUCGCGGGGUGCCCAGUGGUGUAGUGCGAGGUGCCUGGGGGUCCCCAGGGCUGCCGGGGACUCCCAGGGAAGCAGGGUGCUGGGUGCCCAGGGCUGCAGGGUGCUGCGGGCACAGGAUAUCCCGGGGCAGAGGGUUCCUGGGGUGCUCAAUGGUGCAGGGUGCCCGGGGUGCAGGGGGUGCAGGAUUCCCUGGGUGCCGGCGUUCCUGGGGCGCAGGGUGCUGGGGACGCAUAGGGCACGGGGUGCCUGGGGUGCAGAGCUCCCAGGGUGCAGGAUGCCUGCGGUGCCCAAGGGUGCAUGAUGCUGGGGGCUCCCAGGGUGCAG